UACAAAGGGGGCUAGCGUUGCUCGGAAUCACUGGGCGUAAAGCGCGCGUAGGCGGACCUGCAAGUCGGGGGUGAAAGCCCGAGGCUCAACCUCGGAACUGCCUUCGAUACUGCGGGUCUCGAGUCCGGGAGAGGUGAGUGGAAUUCCUAGUGUAGAGGUGAAAUUCGUAGAUAUUAGGAAGAACACCAGUGGCGAAGGCGGCUCACUGGCCCGGUACUGACGCUGAGGCGCGAAAGCGUGGGGAGCAAACAGG
rnacentral:rRNA from 1 species